rnacentral:tRNA from 1 species
GAGAUAAGUAAUUCAAGAAUAAGCUUCUAACUUAAUUCUUUAGCAUUGAAAUAUGUUAUUUUCUCU